ensembl:lncRNA
ACCUGCAGGGGAGGAGAGGAAGGGGGCCACCUUGGGAGCUGCGCUGGAAAUCUGCUGUCCUCAGACGUACCUGAGGGUAAGGGGAUGUCCACAGACCCCUCGAUUGUUCAUUUUUGGAAUCACUUCAUCACUUUUUGUGUUACGUAAAUCAGUAUGUCCAACAGAAACAUCCCCAGUUACAGUUACUGCAGGAUUUGCCCUUUUUAGACUGAGAACAGCAUAAAACUGUUCAGGCACAUAAUGUUACAGUAGGAUACCAUUUAAAAAAAAAUAAAAUUUAGUGCCACACACAUCCAGGACAUCAUUUCUAAUUCUGAUCUGAGUGUAGGAUCUGAAUAACUGAGAAUGAAAUUUUUAGUAUUCUAUUAUUGUCAUCCCAAUCAAUCCACAUUUUAAGAACCAGUAUAGUCGUGGCACAUUCCCUGUUAGAUGGAUACUGAUUGCCUGUUCAAUGGGUAGACUGGUGUGGUAUUUUUCCUUUAAAACGAGUAAGCUUUAAAUAAGGGGCUGAAAGGAGGGUUCACUUGAAGAUCUCACAGAGUGCAGAGGUUGUUGUAGUUUGGUAAAGCCACCUGCAGAAGUUUUUGAUGAGAUGCAUUUCUGUAGUACUUGCAUUUGGGUAUUUCACCACGAGCGAUGUGUGAUACCCUCCCACACACUGUGCCGACAACUCCUGCAGGCCCACACCCCGCUCCUGCCCAUGGGAUGGGACUCGGGGUGGUCAAAGAAUCAUAGAAUCUCAAGGUCGGAAAGGACCUACAAGAUCAUCUAGUCCAACCAUCCUCGCAUUACCCUUGCUACCACAAGCCACUAACCCAUACCUCGUGGCUCCUCAUCUCAUAGCUCCUCCAUUCAGCAUUCAGGUGGCACCUCCCCAGCCUGUGGGUACCCCAGCACCAUCCAGCCCCUGCGCCCCUCUCCCCAAAUUCCUCCUGACUCCCUGUCUCUCCCCAGUGCCUGGGGCCUUGCAGCUCCUGCUUCCCCUCUGCUGGGCCCAGUUUGGCUCUGACUGGAGCCUCAGCAUGGAGGGGGGACGGUACGGGAGGUGAGGGACGAGGGGAAAGCCAUCUGCACACAGGGAAGUAUUUAUCUUCCACAGUGUUUUUUUUUCCAACUUCAUCUCUCAGAAGGUGAGAUUACCUGGGUUUUGAAGGAUACUAGGAUUUACAUAAGCUUUGGAUCUUCUUAAUGUUUGCAGAGAUGUUUUAAAAUACGAAUGAGGUAAAUAUUUUUGUAUGAAUGUGCACUGAGUGAUUAUGGUAUUUUUCCAUUACAGUGAGGGCUCAGGCCAGCUUUGUAGCAGUUGCUGUGUGUUUAAGGAAGCAGUACUUUCAGCCUUCAAAAAUGAAAAAACAGAGCAUUUGAAUUGAAAAUGUUAGCAUUUUGUCUGUUCGGGUGACGUGGAAGUUGAAUGCAUUUUUAAAAGCCCAUUGACUUUUAGUUUAGGACUUGAGUCUGCAAACUCACUUGGACCAAAAAUGGAAGUAGUGUCAAGAAGGGAUGCCAGCUAAAGAAGUCAGAUAGAGUGUGGAAAAUACAGAUGACAUCACUUUGUAUCAAGGUAAUGUGCAGUGUUCAGGCUGACACCAGAAGGAGUCAUAGGUUUAAGAAAGAGCAACAGAAGAGUCUGAGGAGAAUCUGAUAAAGGGGGAAAACAUCAACUUUUUUGCAUAUUUGCAACUCUAUUUUCAGUCACCAUAAAAACAGUUUUCAAAUGGAAUGUGUAGAGUUGUAAUUAGACAUUCAACUCAAAAAUCUGAUCAAGUCUCUUUCCUAGACUUUAAUGAGAGAAAUACCCCUCAUUUCACACUCACACCAUAUUCACAUGAUCACUUCCUGGCAGUACAUACAUUUGUGAACAAUU